rnacentral:rRNA from 1 species
CCGCGUGAGUGAUGAAGGCCUUAGGGUCGUAAAGCUCUUUCGCCAGAGAUGAUAAUGACAGUAUCUGGUAAAGAAACCCCGGCUAACUCCGUGCCAGCAGCCGCGGUAAUACGGAGGGGGUUAGCGUUGUUCGGAAUUACUGGGCGUAAAGCGCGCGUAGGCGGAUUAGUAAGUUAGAGGUGAAAUCCCGGGGCUCAACCCCGGAACUGCCUUUAAUACUGCUAGUCUUGAGUUCGAGAGAGGUGAGUGGAAUUCCGAGUGUAGAGGUGAAAUUCGUAGAUAUUCGGAGGAACACCAGUGGCGAAGGCGGCUCACUGGCUCGAUACUGACGCUGAGGUGCGAAAGUGUGGGGAGCAAACAGGAUUAGAUACCCUGGUAGUCCACACCGUAAACGAUGAAUGCCAGUCGUCGGGUAGCAUGCUAUUCGGUGACACACCUAACGGAUUAAGC